AUGAAAUGUUCUUCCACAUGUUUUAUCAUUAUAAAAGAAAUCAAUUGGUUCGAUCCAUCACGAGCCCCUCAUACUGAAUAGCAAAGCGACUAAACAAGCAGCAAAUCCCUAAACUCCAAUUUAUUAUUACACACCAAAGUCGCACAACAGUUUAACCAAAGAACGGUGGCAAAACUCAGUCUGAUAAAUGGAUCAUCAAAGAAGAUUCAACGCAUCCAGAAGCAAGGCCGACAUAGGAGCUGUGCACCAUGCCAGGGACGUAGCCAGUCGAGGAAGUUCAGCCAGUGAUCCUUGGAACCCCCAGACGACGCCACCCCUGCGAUGCACUGUAUGCUUCACCCGCCACCUGCUCCAUGACUUUUGCUCCCAGCGUCAACACCCUUUGAUUUCCCUUCUUUAUCUGCAAAAUUGCCUAAUUUGUUAUCCACCGAAAUAUCAACUUGAUAAGCAUAAUACGGUCAUUUAUCAUCUUUCUUUCAAAAAUAAUAUCAUUUCUGCUUCUCCAAAUUGUCCCAGAGAUAGCGGUAACAACAACUAACACCUGUUUUUCAGUUCCAUUGUGAAAACUUUUAAUAUAGGUACUAAAGCACAAACUCAGAUUAUAAGGAAUAUAUCUCAAAUGAAAAGCACAUUUAAACAAACCCCGCUCUAGUUUAGCCACCAAACUCCUGAAGAAUAACUACUCAGAGCUCUCAUCAUUUUUCAGGGACCGAUCUAGCCUCUUUUCAGCCUAUUGUCUCUAGUUAAUAAGCUAUUUUGACCAUCGACCAAAGAAAGACUUUCAUUUUUUGUGGAAUUAUGUUUCCACAAAAAGGUGGAAACCCAUAAUAUUGAAUAGCUUAUGGUUUUGAUAAUAAGAAGACUGUCUACAGUUAACAUACACUUAAUAGAAUCCUUGUUGUUAGGCACCACAAUUUCCUCACAUCCUUUUUUGAUGCUACCCCGGAGAGCUAAAGUAUUACCCCACGUAGUUCUCAUAAAUCUAAAAUCCUCCCAGCCUUUCUGCAAGGUAUCAACUACAAUAAUAUUGUGAUCAAAACUAAAAUUGUGCAGUCUAGCAUAAGAGAUUUUAAAAGGUUUAAAUCAAGUAUUUUUGCCGUUACCCACUUUUUUGGAAUGCUGGUAGAAUAUAUCUUUUAUUUUCAUGAGACUCGACUAAAAAUGGGAGUUCCCGGUCUUAGUCUUAGUUGCAGAAAAGCAACCAUUCCGAACAUGUUUGUCAGGACAAUUGUUUGGUAGAGACCAUUUACAGUCUCUAACUUCCAUAACCAUUUAGCCAGUAUAGCAUUAUUCAUGAGGUCAAGAUAUCUAAUACCUAGGCCCGCAUGCUCUUUAGGUCUAAAGCCACUGGCCCAGUUUACUACAAGAUUUUUUUUCUUGUUGUCGUCUCAUGCUAAAUAAACCUAGCCAUGAAGAAAUUGGCACUUUUCUUCACACCAAUCGGGAUGCGGUAUAAAGACAUCAUAUAAGUUGAAUCCUCCCCUUAUGUUGUUAAAGAACCAAGGACAAACCAUCCCCAUCAGCAAUAUUAUAAUCAAAAUCAGUGGCUUUCUCAACUUUUGUUGAAAAUUCCAGGGAAGAACUAUUUGAAGCAUGCAAAUCACAUCUUUGAACCCUAUUUCUUGCAGCUACAAAUCCCCACGCCAUUACUUGGUACAGGAGAAUGUAAAAAAUUGUAGAGACCAUAAAUCUUACUCGAAAACGAAGCAACAAAACGGUCGCAGGAGUCCUCAUCGUCGGACUCCUCCCCGGACAGCAGCCAGAAUCGGCUGCCAGCCGAGAAGGCGCCUACUCAUCGGCGGCGCUCUGUGCAAGUGCCUGGAUCCGCGCAGAACGCCGGGGAAACCGAGGUGAGCGACGAGGCAGCUGUGAAACCACCUGGGCAACAUUUUGACUCGGCAACACCCGCACGUCGUUGUCAGUCAGGACGGGCAUCGUCGGACUGCGUGGCGGUGACCUCCCAGUCAUGGUCACCACCCGCACAUUAUCCCAGAUUGGGUCGGACGAAACCCAAUCGUACGACAAGUAGCGGUGCCACUGCUCGCGCCGCAUCGGAUCGCCGGACUCCGCCUCCAUCACCGCCCAAUAGAGGAUUUCGAGUGGGGCCUUCCCUAAGAUCCGACUCCGCUCCUCCUCCGAGGCAUGUUCAACCACCCGACGUGAUACUUGACGCAUCCCCUCCGCAUCCAUGUAUCGCCGAUAGAUCUCGCGGAGCUUUGCCAUCUUCGCCUCGUCGCCGCCCACGAUGGGAUCCC
rnacentral:lncRNA from 1 species